UACGGGGGGGGGGCAAGCGUUGUUCGGAAUUACUGGGCGUAAAGAGCUCGUAGGUGGUUUGUCGCGUUGUUCGUGAAAACCUGAGGCUUAACCUUGGGCGUGCGGGCGAUACGGGCAGACUAGAGUUCGGUAGGGGAGACUGGAAUUCCUGGUGUAGCGGUGAAAUGCGCAGAUAUCGGGAAGAACACCCGUGGCUAAGGCGGCUCUCUAGUACGGUACUGACGCUGAGACGCGAAAGCGUGGGGAGCGAACAGG
rnacentral:rRNA from 1 species